AGCGUGAUGCAAAGAACCAAAGUGAUGUAAAAGAACGAGUAAUAUGAAAUAAAGUUAAAGUAAAAGUGACACUAUAGUUAGUGUGAGACAAAGAUCGAAUGUGAUGCAAAGAAUGAGGUAAAUGACUAAAGUUAAAGCCAAGUGGGGCAUAAAGAAAAAAAUUGAAAAGAAAUCCAAAGAAUGUGAAUGCUAGAGUUAGCAAAAGUAAAGAAAUGUAGAGAUUGUGAU
rnacentral:lncRNA from 1 species